AUAUUCACACUAAGCAUGAGGAUUCUUGUGAUUUUUUUUUUCUCCUCUCAUUCAGGCUCAGACUGUGAAUGAACUGGUCAUUAACAAGAACUUAAACAAGGAAAUAAUUUCUCUUAAUCCCCAGAAGAGGCUGCUAUUAUCACAGUAGGUGUGUGGUACCCUGAAGCCUCCAGGAAAAAACAAUCUGAUCUCACGCCACAUUGUGCUAUAUCAAAGAGAUGCUGUAACAACGAAAACCUCAAGCUCUGAACCACUGUGGUCUUAGACUAGUAUUUAAAUGAGUGCUGCAAAAUGAAAGCCAAUGGCAGAAUUUCAGCAUUGAUGAAGUGGAUGUUACAGUAUCUUAUAUUCUCC
ensembl:lncRNA